UUUCCGUAGGUGAACCUGCGGAAGGAUCAUUCAUAAUAAAGUGUUUAUGGCACUUUUUAAAAAUCCAUAUCCACCUUGUGUGCAAUGUUAGAUCUCGUCAAUCUUGGCGAGAUUUUUAUACAUCAACUCAUUCUUUAACUAAUUUGUCUGAAAAAUAUUAUGAAUACUUAAUUCAAAAUACAACUUUCAACAACGGAUCUCUUGGCUCUC
rnacentral:misc_RNA from 1 species